UGGGGAAUAUUGGACAAUGGGCGAAAGCCUGAUCCAGCCAUGCCGCGUGUGUGAAGAAGGUCUUCGGAUUGUAAAGCACUUUAAGUUGGGAGGAAGGGCAUUAACCUAAUACGUUAGUGUUUUGACGUUACCGACAGAAUAAGCACCGGCUAACUCUGUGCCAGCAGCCGCGGUAAUACAGAGGGUGCAAGCGUUAAUCGGAAUUACUGGGCGUAAAGCGCGCGUAGGUGGUUUGUUAAGUUGGAUGUGAAAUCCCCGGUCUCAACCUGGGAACUGCAUUCAAAACUGACUGACUAGAGUAUGGUAGAGGGUGGUGGAAUUUCCUGUGUAGCGGUGAAAUGCGUAGAUAUAGGAAGGAACACCAGUGGCGAAGGCGACCACCUGGACUAAUACUGACACUGAGGUGCG
rnacentral:rRNA from 1 species